rnacentral:rRNA from 1 species
CCAGACUCCUACGGGAGGCAGCAGUGGGGAAUAUUGCACAAUGGGGGAAACCCUGAUGCAGCGACGCCGCGUGAGUGAAGAAGUAUUUCGGUAUGUAAAGCUCUAUCAGCAGGGAAGAAAAUGACGGUACCUGACUAAGAAGCCCCGGCUAACUACGUGCCAGCAGCCGCGGUAAUACGUAGGGGGCAAGCGUUAUCCGGAUUUACUGGGUGUAAAGGGAGCGUAGACGGCAUGGCAAGUCAGAUGUGAAAGCCCGGGGCUCAACCCCGGGACUGCAUUUGAAACUGUCAGGCUUGAGUGCAGGAGAGGUAAGUGGAAUUCCUAGCGUAGCGGUGAAAUGCGUAGAUAUUAGGAGGAACACCAGUGGCGAAGGCGGCUUACUGGACUGUAACUGACGUUGAGGCUCGAAAGCGUGGGGAGCAAACAGGAUUAGAUACCCCAGUA